rnacentral:rRNA from 1 species
CUGUGAGCUCGAUGAGUAGGGCGGGACACGUGGUAUCCUGUCUGAAUAUGGGGGGACCAUCCUCCAAGGCUAAAUACUCCUGACUGACCGAUAGUGAACCAGUACCGUGAGGGAAAGGCGAAAAGAACCCCGGCGAGGGGAGUGAAAAAGAACCUGAAACCGUGUACGUACAAGCAGUGGGAGCACGCUUCGGCGUGUGACUGCGUACCUUUUGUAUAAUGGGUCAGCGACUUAUAUUCUGUAGCAAGGUUAACCGAAUAGGGGAGCCGAAGGGAAACCGAGUCUUAACUGGGCGUUAAGUUGCAGGGUAUAGACCCGAAACCCGGUGAUCUAGCCAUGGGCAGGUUGAAGGUUGGGUAACACUAACUGGAGGACCGAACCGACUAAUGUUGAAAAAUUAGCGGAUGACUUGUGGCUGGGGGUGAAAGGCCAAUCAAACCGGGAGAUAGCUGGUUCUCCCCGAAAGCUAUUUAGGUAGCGCCUCGUGAAUUCAUCUCCGGGGGUAGAGCACUGUUUCGGCAAGGGGGUCAUCCCGACUUACCAACCCGAUGCAAACUGCGAAUACCGGAGAAUGUUAUCACGGGAGACACACGGCGGGUGCUAACGUCCGUCGUGAAGAGGGAAACAACCCAGACCGCCAGCUAAGGUCCCAAAGUCAUGGUUAAGUGGGAAACGAUGUGGGAAGGCCCAGACAGCCAGGAUGUUGGCUUAGAAGCAGCCAUCAUUUAAAGAAAGCGUAAUAGCUCACUGGUCGAGUCGGCCUGCGCGGAAGAUGUAACGGGGCUAAACCAUGCACCGAAGCUGCGGCAGCGACACUAUGUGUUGUUGGGUAGGGGAGCGUUCUGUAAGCCUGUGAAGGUG